AUGGAAGGCUACUCGCAGGUGCCAUACGCAUCCCUCUGUGGCCUCGCCGUCGUCGUAGCAGGGUGGCUCGCGCACUGCGUGUACAAGUGGACGAACCCGGCGUGCAGCACCGGGAGGCUCCCUCCGGGAUCCAUGGGCCUCCCUCUGGUCGGCGAGACCUUCCAGUUCUUCAAGCCAAGCCCAUCCCUCGACGUGCCGGUCUUCUACAAGGAAAGGCUGAAAAGGUACGGGCCGGUGUUCAAGACGAGCCUGGUGGGGCAGCCGGUGGUGGUGUCCAUGGACGCGGAGGUGAACCGCUUCAUCUUCCAGCAGGAGGGCAAGCUGUUCCGGAGCUGGUACCCGGACACCACCAACAACAUCUUCGGCAAGGAGAGCAUCGCCUCCUACGACGGCUCCUUCCACAAGUACAUCCGCAGCUUCGCGUCCAGGCUCUUCGGCCUGGAGAGCCUCAGGGACGUGCUCCUCGCCGAGAUGGAUCGCAACGUGACGCAGAGCCUCGCGGCGUGGGCCGCGGAGCCUGCCAUCGAGGUCAAGGACGCCGUGGCCAACAUGGUCUUUGACCUCACGGCCAAGAAGCUGAUUGGGUUCGGUCCCGAGAAGUCGAGGAAACUCAGGAAGAACUUCGAUGCCUUCUUCCAGGGGUUGGUCUCCUUCCCGCUGUAUUUCCCUGGGACAACAUUCUACAGAUGCAUACAGGGAAGGAAAAACGUGCAGAAGGUGCUCAAGGACCUACUGAAAGGAAGGCUCAGCGCACCUGAAAAGCGACACGGUGAUUUCCUUGAUGAGGUGGUCAACGAGCUACAGAGUGGAAGGGGAGUGAUAGACGAGAGAUUCGCUGUAGACUUGAUGGCCGCCCUAUUGUUCGCCAGCUUUGCGACGGUAUCGUCAUCGCUCACGGUCGCUAUGAAGUUCCUCAGCGGCCACCCCAAUGUAGUGGAGUCACUCAAGGAGGAGCAUGAAGCAAUUCUGAAGAAAAGAGAAGAUGGCAGGUCCGGGAUCACAUGGGAAGAGUACAAGUCCAUGACUUUCACUACUCAGGUUUCCAAUGAGAUAGCUCGCGUCAGUAACGUGGCCCCUGGAAUAUUCAGGAAAACACUAACGGACGUGCAAGUGAAAGGAUACACUAUUCCGGCCGGCUGGCUGGUGAUGAUCAGCCCCAUGGCUGUCCAUCUGAACCCAGAAUUGUUCAAAGACCCGUUGACAUUUAACCCAUGGAGGUGGCAGGAUGAGUCGAAGAAGAGCACCCUGCUGAAGAACUUCAUGCCAUUCGGAGGGGGCAUAAGGCUCUGUGUGGGAGCAGAGUUCAGCAGGAUUCAGAUCGCACUCUUCCUUCACACCUUGGUGACAAAGUACAGAUGGAAGGAGAUAAAAGGUGGCGAAGUACAACGCGUAUCGGAGAUCGUGUUUCCGGAGGGCUAUCACAUCCAGAUAAUCCCUAGGGAGGGAUAA
rnacentral:rRNA from 1 species